CCGAUGGAGGGGGAUAACUACUGGAAACGGUAGCUAAUACCGCAUAACGUCGCAAGACCAAAGAGGGGACCUUCGGGCCUCUUGCCAUCGGAUGUGCCCAGAUGGGAUUAGCUAGUAGGUGGGGUAAUGGCUCACCUAGGCGACGAUCCCUAGCUGGUCUGAGAGGAUGACCAGCCACACUGGAACUGAGACACGGUCCAG
rnacentral:rRNA from 1 species